GACGAACGCUGGCGGCGUGCCUAAUACAUGCAAGUUGAGCGCUGAAGGUUGGUACUUGUACCAACUGGAUGAGCAGCGAACGGGUGAGUAACGCGUGGGGAAUCUGCCUUUGAGCGGGGGACAACAUUUGGAAACGAAUGCUAAUACCGCAUAAAAACUUUAAACACAAGUUUUAAGUUUGAAAGAUGCAAUUGCAUCACUCAAAGAUGAUCCCGCGUUGUAUUAGCUAGUUGGUGAGGUAAAGGCUCACCAAGGCGAUGAUACAUAGCCGACCUGAGAGGGUGAUCGGCCACAGUGGGACUGAGACACGGCCCAAACUCCUACGGGAGGCAGCAGUAGGGAAUCUUCGGCAAUGGACGAAAGUCUGACCGAGCAACGCCGCGGGAGUGAAGAAGGUUUUCGGAUCGUAAAACUCUGUUGGUAGAGAAGAACGUUGGUGAGAGUGGAAAGCUCAUCAAGUGACGGUAACUACCCAGAAAGGGACGGCUAACUACGUG
rnacentral:rRNA from 1 species